CGAGGCUCUGGGACAGACACCGCGAGGGAGGCGGCCGGCGCGGGCUCUCGUCGCGGGCGCAGCGCCCCUUCCCCUCGGAGCCGGGCUCCGCCUUCCUGCAGCUGGGCGUGUCCCUGGAGCAGCAGCUGCAGGUGCUGUUCAAGGUGCUGGAAGAGUACGACUGGAGCGCCUUCGCCGUCAUCACCAGCCUGCACCCGGGCCACGCGCUCUUCCUGGAGGGCGUGCGCGCCGUCGCCGACGCCAGCCACGUGAGUUGGCGGCUGCUGGACGUGGUCACGCUGGAGCUGGGCCCGGGAGGGCCGCGCGCGCGCACGCAGCGCCUGCUGCGCCAGCUCGACGCGCCCGUGUUUGUGGCCUACUGCUCGCGCGAGGAGGCCGAGGUGCUCUUCGCCGAGGCGGCGCAGGCCGGUCUGGUGGGGCCCGGCCACGUGUGGCUGGUGCCCAACCUGGCGCUGGGCAGCACCGAUGCGCCCCCCGCCACCUUCCCCGUGGGCCUCAUCAGCGUCGUCACCGAGAGCUGGCGCCUCAGCCUGCGCCAGAAGGUGCGCGACGGCGUGGCCAUUCUGGCCCUGGGCGCCCACAGCUACUGGCGCCAGCAUGGAACCCUGCCAGCCC
rnacentral:lncRNA from 10 species